AAAGUUUGCGAUGGUGAGCUGCACCAAGGAAAGGGGGGAAGAAAGGAAGCUGGAGAAGAAGGUGACGGGUGGGAACAUUGACUGAUAGAGAAGAGAAAGUAUCAUGUGUGAAUUCAAAGUUUGCGGUGGUGAGCUGCACCAAGGAAAGUGGGGAAGAAAGGAAGCUGGAGGAGAAGGUGACGGGUGGGACCAUUGAGUGAGAGAGAAGAGAAAGUAUCAUGUGUGAACCAAAAAUACCAUUGCAACAUCUGAUUUACGUGGACGAACGGAUGUGUGGAGCACAAGAACUUAGAAACUUAAAUUAUUCGCAAAUACCAUUAUACUUAGAAAAGUGCAAAUCAUGAUUAUUAAGGUCGCUCGACUCUAUCAAUACAUUAUUUUCAUCCAAAUACGUAUAAUUAAUGAGCUGUAUCAUAUAUUCGAGC
rnacentral:lncRNA from 1 species